UACGUAGGGGGCAAGCGUUGUCCGGAUUUAUUGGGCGUAAAGCGCUCGCAGGCGGUCCGAUGCGUCGUGCGUGAAAGACCCCGGCUCAACUGGGGAGGGUCGUGCGAUACGGUCGGACUCGAGGCCAGUAGGGGGACGCGGAAUUCCGGGUGUAGUGGUGGAAUGCGUAGAGAUCCGGAGGAACACCAGCGGCGAAGGCGGCACGCUGGGCCGUACCUGACGCUAAAGCGCGACAGCAUGGGGAGCAAACGGG
rnacentral:rRNA from 1 species